UAGGGAAUCUUCGGCAAUGGGGGCAACCCUGACCGAGCAACGCCGCGUGAGUGAAGAAGGUUUUCGGAUCGUAAAGCUCUGUUGUAAGAGAAGAACGUGUGUGAGAGUGGAAAGUUCACACAGUGACGGUAACUUACCAGAAAGGGACGGCUAACUACGUGCCAGCAGCCGCGGUAAUACGUAGGUCCCGAGCGUUGUCCGGAUUUAUUGGGCGUAAAGCGAGCGCAGGCGGUUUAAUAAGUCUGAAGUUAAAGGCAGUGGCUUAACCAUUGUUCGCUUUGGAAACUGUUAAACUUGAGUGCAGAAGGGGAGAGUGGAAUUCCAUGUGUAGCGGUGAAAUGCGUAGAUAUACGGAGGAACACCGGUGGCGAAAGCGGCUCUCUGGUCUGUAACUGACGCUGAGGCUCGAAAGCGUGGGGAGCAAACAGG
rnacentral:rRNA from 1 species